GCGCCCCGGUUGGAUGCGGAACGGUUUNCAAAGGCUGGUCCGCCGCUCAACGCGGGGCGCUGGUCAGCGUGUGCCGUGGCGCCGGCACAAGAGCGGGGUGUGUUCCCCGCCGAUGCCGGCGCGGCGGCCGAGGCAAGAAGCGCGCGCCUUCAGGCGUGGGGAAACCCGACUGCGCGCUCGGGACGCUGGCGUACUGGGCUCUCCAUCCGACCCGUCUUGAAACACGGACCAAGGAGUCUAACAUGCAUGCGAGCCGGUGGGCGGCAAACCCAUUGAGGCGCAAGGAACCUGACAGGUGGGACCCCGACCGCGAGGGAGGGCGCACCAUCGACCGACCGUGAUCUUCUGUGAAAGGUUUGAGUGGGAGCAUGCCUGUUGGGACCCGAAAGAUGGUGAACUAUGCCUGAGCAGGGCGAAGCCAGGGGAAACCCUGGUGGAGGCUCGUAGCGAUACUGACGUGCAAAUCGUUCGUCAGACUUGGGUAUAGGGGCGAAAGACUAAUCGAACCAUCUAGUAGCUGGUUCCCUCCGAAGUUUCCCUCAGGAUAGCUGGAGCUCGUGAAGUUUUAUCAGGUAAAGCGAAUGAUUAGAGGCAUCGGGGGUGCAACACCCUCGACCUAUUCUCAAACUUUAAAUGGGUAAGCCGCCGGGGUUGCUCGG
rnacentral:rRNA from 1 species